rnacentral:tRNA from 1 species
CAGUAAAUAGUUUAUUAAAAUUUUAAUUUUGGAUAUUAAGGAUGAGAGUAAUCUCUUUACUGA